AGGGUUUGAUCAUGGCUCAGAACGUACGCUGGCGGCACGCCUAAUACAUGCAAGUCGAACGAAGUAGCAAUACUUAGUGGCAGACGGGUGAGUAACAUGUAGGUAUCUUCCCAUUGGUGAGGAAUAACACGAGGAAACUUGUGCUAAUACCUCAUAAGUCUUUACGGAGAAAGCUUUAUGCGCCGAUGGAUGAGCCUGCACUUGAUUAGUUUGUUGGUAGGGUAAUGGCCUACCAAGACAAUGAUCAAUAGCUGAUUUGAGAGGAUGAUCAGCCACAUUGGGACUGAGACACGGCCCAAACUCCUACGGGAGGCAGCAGUAGGGAAUCUUGCACAAUGGGGGAAACCCUGAUGCAGCGAUGCCGCGUGAGUGAAGAAGGCCUUUGGGUUGUAAAGCUCUUUCGUCGGGGAAGAAAAUGACUGUACCCGAAUAAGAAGGUCCGGCUAACUUCGUGCCAGCAGCCGCGGUAAUACGAAGGGACCUAGCGUAGUUCGGAAUUACUGGGCUUAAAGAGUUCGUAGGUGGUUAAAAAAGUUGAUGGUGAAAUCCCAAGGCUCAACCUUGGAACUGCCAUCAAAACUUUUUAGCUAGAGUGUGAUAGAGGUAAGUGGAAUUUCUAGUGUAGAGGUGAAAUUCGUAGAUAUUAGAAAGAACACCAAAUGCGAAGGCAACUUACUGGGUCACUACUGACACUGAGGAGCGAAAGCAUGGGUAGCGAAGAGGAUUAGAUACCCUCGUAGUCCAUGCCGUAAACGAUGUGUGCUAGACGUUGGAAAUAUAUUUUUCAGUGUCGCAGCGAAAGCAUUAAGCACACCGCCUGGGGAGUACGACCGCAAGGUUAAAACUCAAAUGAAUUGACGGGGACCCGCACAAGCAGUGGAGCAUGUGGUUUAAUUCGAAGAUACGCGCAGAACCUUACCAACACUUGACAUGUUCGUCGCGAGCCUAAGAGAUUAGGCUUUUCAGUUUGGCUGGACGAAACACAGGUGCUGCAUGGCUGUCGUCAGCUCGUGUCGUGAGAUGUUGGGUUAAGUCCCGCAACGAGCGCAACCCUCACUUUUAGUUGCCAUCAUUAAGUUGGGCACUCUGAAAGAACUGCCAGUGAUAAGCUGGAGGAAGGUGGGGAUGACGUCAAGUCCUCAUGGCCCUUACGUGUUGGGCUACACACGUGCUACAAUGGUAUCUACAACAGGAAGCAAAACUGCGAGGUUAAGCAAAUCCUUAAAAGAUACCUCAGUUCGGAUUGCACUCUGCAACUCGAGUGCAUGAAGCUGGAAUUACUAGUAAUCGUGGAUCAGCGUGCCACGGUGAAUGCGUUCCCGGGUCUUGUACACACCGCCCGUCACACCAUGGGAGUUGGUUCUACCUUAAGGCAAGGUUUAAAACCCUUGACCACGGUAUAGUCAGCGACUGGGGUGAAGUCGUAACAAGGUAACCGUA
rnacentral:rRNA from 1 species